AUCUAGUUUAUUGCUACAUUUGUUUUACUUUGCUUCCUUUUUUCUACAGCUACUGAGACAAAAACGUAUCCCGUGUACAUCGAGGUCCUUCCAGAUGAAAGUAAUGAAAAGGAUUUAAGGCAGCCUCUUGGGGAGAAGACUGAGGCAUCAGCAGGAAGAAAAAGCAUUAACAGCUCUGCCACGCUAUCGCUGACACUGUCAGAUAGUCUGUGCCACUCGUACGAGAAUAUCACCAGAACCGAAUCUCCGGCCUCCGGCACCGCAGAUUUUGACUAUGUAAACGUGGCAGAAAAAACGAGACUCUCCUAGUCCUGCUCCCAAUCUCUCUUUGUGCCAACAUGGCAUGUGCGUUUUUACGCCAACAAGGCGUCUGCAUGCUGUGCCAACAUGCCAUCUGUAUCCCGCACCAACAUGGCAUCUGUCUCAUGCACCAACAUGGCAUCUGUGUACUGUGCCAACAUGGCGUCUCUGUCCUUUCGUUGACAUGACAUCUGUCUCUUGCACCAGCAUGGCAUCUGUUUCCUGUGCCAACAUGGCACCUGCAUCCUGCGCAAACUUUGCAACUGCAUCCUGUGCCAGCUUGACUACUGUUUCCUGUGCCAAUAAGACACGUGUGUCCUGCGCCAACAUGGGUUGGAAGAAGAGAGACUAGUAUAGAUCUAAAACUCUGAAUGACUUGCUCCAUGACAAAAUGGAAAACAUAGAACAGCUUUAUUAUAAAUAUAUUCUUUAACCCAAAACAAUUUGAGAAUCAUGGCAGCAAUUUCAUAAAGAUUUAACAUCAUAAAACUGAAAAAAUAAUGAAUUUAAAGCUCCCUACUUAUCUAUGUAACAUGUUUUUCAUCUUCUUUCUAAGCACUCACAUGGCGUAGAGCAUCACGUCUGCUCCUCAGUAGCUUGCCUUUGUUAGAUUCUCACCGUAGCUACAUGACCAGCUGAGGUUCCUUUAAAUUAAUAUAAAUAAGAUAAGCAGCCUCCAAAGAAACAGUUUGUGUUUCCAAAAUUAUAAAAAAACUAGAAAAAAAAUGCUUUAAAUGUUAUCUUACAUACUGAAACACUGGAUAUUAUAUUCUGUUUCCUCCACAUCAGUCUAUAUAUCCCAUUAGGAGCAAUUUGUAUUAGCUAUCAUUCAUUUAGCAGAAUUAUGAGGAAUUUCUCCUAUUUUGUGAAUACACAAUUUGUAUUACUUUU